AGCUAAUUAUAUGCCAAUCUCUUUCCUUUCAUAUCAAAAAUUCUUGAAAGAGUACUUGUCAAACAGCUAACAGAUUGCCUCAUGCAUUAGGUGCUGCGUCCUCAUGCUGCAUAAUCUGCCAACUACCUUGAUGAUGUUAUCAUCCACAGUGAUCACAUCUGGGUGGAGCAUGUCAAGUGUGAGGCUGCGGUCCUUGAGACCCUGAGGCAGGCGGGGCUCACGGCCAACCUGAAGAAGUGUGCAGUUGGAUGGAGGGAGGUACAGUAUUUUGAGUACCACUUGGGGGGCAGUCAGAUGCGUUCACAGGCGGAGAAGAUGGCAGCCAUUGGAUCCUGCCCUGACGAGCCCGUCGGCUGAUCUCACCUGAAGAUCGCGCCCCAGAUCUGGUCCAGUGGAUGGAACGCUGGCCAGGCAGCAUUUGCACAGACCCGACACCUCAAAGAGAGGGCUGCCGUUUUGUCCCAGCAGGUAAGGGGGGUCGACCACCCGAGAGUGUACAUCCGCAAGAAGCUGACCCACCGAGAAACGUGGUACAGCACCAUGGAGAAGGAGUGUCUGGCGAUCUUGUGGGCAGUUGAUUCACUACGCUAUUACCUCGUGGGAUGCUCAUUCACCCUCCGCUCAGACCACAGGGGGAUUGUAAGACCAGGACUGCUAAAAGAAAGGCCAGUCCUGAAAAGAAGACCCCAAUAAAAAGGAGGAGGGUCGCUGAGCAGGCUGGUCCUUCCACCAGCUCGGAUGUGGUCAAAGGAGUGAAGCGCAAGGUUGUGCAAGAUGGAGAGGGCACAACGAACCAAGCAAAGAAGGCUAAACUUCUCGACCAUAUGAGUGGUGACAAGGAGCAAGCGUCUUCCUCGCUGGACACUGGUAAAGGUAGGCUAAUUAGUUGAGUGAGGGGUAGAUUAAGUGUGGUUGCUAGGUUUAAGAUAUUGGUGUUUAGUGUUUGGGAGACAUUUGAGUCUAUCAUCCAGUGAGCUGGUGUGCUUUUGGUGUUUUCCACAUCUGCAG
ensembl:lncRNA